rnacentral:sRNA from 1 species
AUUAAAUUCAAAAAUAAAUAAAUUUGGUAAGAAAAAGCUUAAUACUUUAUGCAUUUGGUACAUCACCAAAAAUUGCAUCAAGUAGUGUGAUAAACUAUAAAUAACGUUGAAUUCGCGGGUUUUCCGGAUUGCCUCUAUACAUAUGAUAAAGUUCUAACAAGAAACGGGUCAUCUCGUCUGACCAAAUGAUUUUCUAAUCGAGAAAGCAAAUCAAAACAUGUAUUCAAUCAAAAAACUCAAACAAAAAUACAAAAUAAAAAAAUGACGAUGCUAUGAAAUACUUAGAGAAUUACACUAGCUAAUGAAUGGAUGAAAGGAUAGAUCAUACUUACGUUUGAUUCUUGAUUUUGAUUUUGAUUUUCGUCAGUUUGGGUCGAUGCCAUAAUUGAGAGAAUAGGGUUUCAAUAUAUUGAUUAGGGUUUUCUAAUAAGAAUAAGAUAUAUAGAGUUUGGGUGGAAGACAUAAUUAUUUUAAUUAAUUAAAUU